rnacentral:rRNA from 1 species
GACGAACGCUGGCGGCAUGCCUAAUACAUGCAAGUCGAACGCGGCCAUCCGGUGCUUGCACUGGUGAAGCCGAGUGGCGAACGGGUGAGUAACACGUGAGAAACCUGCCCUGGAGUGGGGAAUAACUCGAAGAAAUUCGAGCUAAUACCGCAUACCUUCUCUUCACCGCAUGGUGAGUUGAAGAAAGAUUUAUCGCUCUAGGAGGGUCUCGCGGCCUAUCAGCUAGUUGGUGAGGUAAUGGCUCACCAAGGCAUCGACGGGUAGCUGGUCUGAGAGGGUGACCGGCCACACUGGAACUGAGACACGGUCCAGACUCCUACGGGGGGCAGCAGUGGGGAAUCUUCCACAAUGGGCGAAAGCCUGAUGGAGCGACGCCGCGUGAGCGAAGAAGGCCUUCGGGUUGUAAGACUCUGUCUGGAGGGACGGAAGGAAGGUGACGGUACCGUCCGGAGGAAGCCACCGGCGUAACUACGUAGCCAGCAGCCGCGGUAAUA